GCCCAACCCAAGCUCUGUGGCCUAAGAAGAGGCUGCGUCACUAUGGCCUGGACCCCUGUCCUCCUUGUGCUCCUCUGUCACUGUACAGGUUCCCUGUCCCAGCCUGUGCUGACCCAGCCACCCUCCCUCUCUGCAUCCCUGGGAACAACAGCCAGACUCACCUGCACCCUGAGCAGUGGCUUCAGUGUUGGUGACUAUGACAUGUACUGGUACCAGCAGAAGCCAGGGAGCCCUCCCCGGGAUCUCCUGUACUACUACUCGGACUCAUAUAAAAACCAGGGCUCUGGGGUCUCCAAAAGCUUCUCUGGAUCCAAGGAUACCUCAGCCAAUGCAGGGCUCCUGCUCAUCUCUGGGCUGCAGCCUGAGGACGAGGCUGACUACUACUGUGCUACAGAUCAUGGCAGUGAGAGCAGCUACUCUUACCCACAGUGUCUCAGAUAA